GCUGAGUUUAAGCAUAUCAAUAAGCGGAGGAAAAGAAACUAACAAGGAUUCCCUUAGUAACGGCGAGCGAACCGGGGAAAUUCUAA
rnacentral:rRNA from 2 species